CAUGUCGAGAAAUAAAAGCAACUAUACUGUGAAACUGCGAAUGGCUCAUUAAAUCAGUUAUCGUUUAUUUGAUAGUGCCUUACUACUUGGAUAACCGUGGUAAUUCUAGAGCUAAUACAUGCAUCAAGCCCCGACUUCUGGAGGGGUGUAUUUAUUAGAUAAAAAACCAAUGCCCUUUUGGGCUGCUUGGUGAAUCAUGAUAACUUAACGAAUCGCAUGGCCUUGCGCCGGCGAUGGUUCAUUCAAAUUUCUGCCCUAUCAACUUUCGAUUGUAGUUUAGUGGACUACAAUGGUUUCAACGGGUAACGGGGAAUUAGGGUUCGACUCCGGAGAGGGAGCCUGAGAAACGGCUACCACAUCCAAGGAAGGCAGCAGGCGCGCAAAUUACCCAAUCCCGACACGGGGAGGUAGUGACAAUAAAUACUGAUACAGGGCUCUUUUGGGUCUUGUAAUUGGAAUGAGUACAAUCUAAAUCCCUUAACGAGGAACAAUUGGAGGGCAAGUCUGGUGCCAGCAGCCGCGGUAAUUCCAGCUCCAAUAGCGUAUAUUAAAGUUGUUGCAGUUAAAAAGCUCGUAGUUGAACCUUGGGCCUGGCUGACCGGUCCGCCUCACCGCGUGCACUGGUUCGGCCGGGCCUUUCCUUCUGCGGAACGGCAUGCCCUUCGCUGGGCGUGUUCUGGGAAGCAGGACUUUUACUUUGAAAAAAUUAGAGUGUUCAAAGCAGGCCUUUGCUCGAAUACAUUAGCAUGGAAUAAUGGAAUAGGACGGCGCUCCUAUUUUGUUGGUUUCUAGGAGAGCCGUAAUGAUUAAUAGGGACAGUUGGGGGCAUCCGUAUUCAGUUGUCAGAGGUGAAAUUCUUGGAUUUACUGAAGACGAACUACUGCGAAAGCAUUUGCCAAAGAUGUUUUCAUUAAUCAGUGAACGAAAGUUAGGGGAUCGAAGACGAUCAGAUACCGUCGUAGUCUUAACCAUAAACUAUGCCGACUAGGGAUCGGGCGAUGUUAUUGUAUUGACUCGCUCGGCACCUUUCGAGAAUCAAAGUGUUUGGGUUCUGGGGGGAGUAUGGUCG
rnacentral:rRNA from 1 species